rnacentral:lncRNA from 1 species
CUGCCUUUCUGUGCAGCUGCUGUUUGUAGCACUGCUAUGCUGAUGACCUUUCUGUUUCCAGAACAACUAUUGAAUGGUCAGAAUCUCAUGACAGAGGCUAUGGAAAUCUUCAGUCUGUUAAAAUGGAGCACUAUGCAUUUAAUGAUUUGUCUCUCAAAAUUGCCUUUCCGUAUUCUGCCACCAAGGCAACUGUGAGCAUAUUGUUGUCAUCACGGAGAUAAGGUAAGUUACUGCUGUUUGGGUCUUGCCAGGUGGUUAACAGCAAGCCUGCAGUAGACAAACUUCAGACAUUAAAUGCUAAGUAUCUCUUAGACUAACAUGAAGAUUAUUCUGUUGCCAUCUGCAGGGUUUAUUUAAGACUUCAGUCAGUCAGUACGUAUGUAACUACCUUGGCUAAGAGGAAAGUACUUCUCCCUUGCAUUUUCUUUUUUUUCCCAAUAAUUUGUUCUGUGUAAGUAGCCUUGUUUCCAACUGGCAUGACAUGACUGUAGUAUGGGAGGAAUUGCACGCAUGGUGAAAAGUCUUUUGUGUGCAGAGCCAGUGUGUGGCAAAUCUACAUAUGAAUUUUGGAUGGUUUGGGAAUGUGGAUAGUGGCUCUGGGUAGAGUCAACUAGACUUGUUAGUUUAGGCUUUGUGCCAAGCAGCAGGAAUUGCAAAAAGAUUGGAGGAAUGGAAAUAAUAGGCUGAGGUGAAUGGACAAGGAGGAGAGGGGAGAAGGUGAUGGUGCCUGUGAGGUGGCAAUUACCUCAGCAAUAGAGCUGUUACGUAUAUUCUGCUUAAUGUAUGAUGUGUAGAGAGUGCUCCUCUGAAUGCCUGCUUAUUCGUUAUGAUUGCCUGGACAGGAACCUUCAUCUUGUUGAUCAAGAAACACUGAUUAUGUGCCAGAAAAUGCUUUGUAUGCAAAAUGUGUGCAGCCAGCUCUCAAGUAGAGGGGAGGUAUGGAUCCAUCCAACGUAGAAGUAAUAUAUCAGGAAAGUUUCAGAAGAAGGCAGCGUAUUGCUUCCCCACAGAUAAGUUCCUGACCUCCACCUGAAAGCUCCAUACUGUGCUUCUGUACUCGAAGAAGCUUUUCACAAUACAGAAGUUCUUCAGUUAAAUGAACAGAACAUGAACUUGCCGCUGUAGUAUUUGGUGCUGAUUGCUUAGACAUGAGAAAGCCUUUCAGCAGGCAGAGUAGAAAUUUCUGUUAAGGAGUUCUGCAGAUCGGACUAGGCUUCUAGAUUUUAUAGACCUGAAUGCUUUCUUUACAAAAGGAAAAGCCCUGCCUUUUUUCCCCUCUCAGGAUAGCUUAUGCUCUCCGCCUGAGUUUGGCACAGAAGCUGGGUUCCGUUGUCUUGUUUGGCCUUACGGCUUCUCUGGAAUCAGGCAGAGAGCCAAUUCCUGUCAUGAUGGGAGCCCAUCCUAGGGUUCUUAGCAGAGCCCCUAGGAUGCCUUUACAAGUGGCUGUAAUCUGUGAGGCCUUUGGCCAGAAGGGGAGGUGGAGCCAAAGGGUCAAUUUGGGGGAAAGAUGGGAUAGGGAGGGCAUUACCAAGAGGUGAUGUAAAUGCAUUAAAUUAAAACCAGGAUUAAGCGCUAAGCUUAAGUGGGGAGAUGCUAAACCAUGGAUACCAGAGCUGCUUUGGCUGGCUGUCCUGUAUGUUGUAAUCUGUGCAGAUAGCAGCUUUAAUCACUAGAGGCCCUGAGCUGUUGGGUCCUCUGAGUGCUACCAUAAAUUAAUUGCUUGGUGCCACAGCAGCCCCUCCUCGUGUUGGCAGCUGUUGAUGUUAAUUUCAGUACUUGCUGGGGUGUCCAGCAGUCUUUGCCUUGUCUGCAUAACUCACACCCUUCUUCAUGACUUGUAAAUGAAUUUGUUUGUUACUCAGAGUACUUUGAAUCAGUCACGCAUCUGCUCUGUAUCAAAGUUUCUUAAUCUAUAAAUCAAAUUUUAUCUCCUGACUUAAAUGGGCACGAGUUGGACAGAAGAUUCCUGUCAGUUUGUUGUUUGGUUGGUUGUACAGACACAGAACAGGUGGGAAAUCUGGAAAAUAUCUGUAGGCCCGGAAAUGGGAGGUGCAAUACAUGCAGUACCUGAUCAGUUACAACAUCAGUGACGCUUAUUGAUGCCAUCCCCAGCUUUGUCACAUUUGACUUGCGUGGAAAACACUUGUAUUUUGCAACCUGCAUUUGGGUAACCAACAAAGACAGUCUGGCACCAGAGAAUCCUUGUUUCUUCUGUGAUGUAUGUUUUCGAAUGCUCCAUUAUGAUGCAGAAGGCAGUAAACUGGGAGACUUUCUUGCAUGUCCUUACAUUGAUCCUGGAAUAUUCAACUGAAACUUACAUCGGAGAGAGUGGAUCUGGUGGACUGUGCUGAUGGAGCUGUUGCUCUAGCUGUUAAAAACACCGGGCAGCUUGAGUACUGAUGAUACCACAGGGUUUUUGAGUUAGGUAUGUACUCGUCUCCUCCUCUGAGGAGGGAUCCCUUUGCACUUGAAGUCUUUGGGUUUGCUUUUGCAGUCACAGAGGUAAGUUAGCGUGGAAGAAAUAUGCUCAGACUUCUGAAUGCAGACUAACGGAGCAUUGUCUGCGAAUGACAAAGGAAAAAACGUGGUGUGCAGCAUGGGAAACUUUAAAGAAAUUCUUGGAAGGGUAGAAGCGACUGCAGUGUCUGUGGUGUCCGCACCUCCACACAGAAAGGGUGGCUGCAGCAGUUGGCAGUCUGUGCAGUCAGUGUGUGAAGGCAGGUUGGAACACCUGCGGCAUAAGAAGUACAAAAAUUUAUCAAAUUGUAGUUGUUAUCAAAUUGUUUUUGAUACCAUUUUAAUUACAUGUACA